UACGAAGGGGGCUAGCGUUGUUCGGAUUUACUGGGCGUAAAGCGCACGUAGGCGGAUUGGUCAGUUAGGGGUGAAAUCCUGGAGCUCAACUCCAGAACUGCCUUUAAUACUGCCAGUCUCGAGUCCGGAAGAGGUAAGUGGAACUCCUAGUGUAGAGGUGGAAUUCGUAGAUAUUAGGAAGAACACCAGUGGCGAAGGCGGCUUACUGGUCCGGUACUGACGCUGGGGUGCGAAAGCGUGGGGAGCAAACAGG
rnacentral:rRNA from 1 species